rnacentral:rRNA from 1 species
UUGGGGUACAGCGGAGGGACAUUACCGAGUUUACAACUCCCAAACCCAAUGUGAACGUUACCAAACUGUUGCCUCGGCGGGGUCACGCCCCGGGUGCGUAAAAGCCCCGGAACCAGGCGCCCGCCGGAGGAACCAACCAAACUCUUUCUGUAGUCCCCUCGCGGACGUAUUUCUUACAGCUCUGAGCAAAAAUUCAAAAUGAAUCAAAACUUUCAACAACGGAUCUCUUGGUUCUGGCAUCGAUGAAGAACGCAGCGAAAUGCGAUAAGUAAUGUGAAUUGCAGAAUUCAGUGAAUCAUCGAAUCUUUGAACGCACAUUGCGCCCGCCAGUAUUCUGGCGGGCAUGCCUGUCCGAGCGUCAUUUCAACCCUCGAACCCCUCCGGGGGAUCGGCGUUGGGGAUCGGGACCCCUCACCGGGUGCCGGCCCUGAAAUACAGUGGCGGUCUCGCCGCAGCCUCUCCUGCGCAGUAGUUUGCACAACUCGCACCGGGAGCGCGGCGCGUCCACGUCCGUAAAACACCCAACUUCUGAAAUGUUGACCUCGGAUCAGGUAGGAAUACCCGCUGAACUUAAGCAUAUCAAAACCGCGGGAGAAAAAA